CCAAGCUCUCCUGGCUGCCCAAUGUCCCCUUCGCUUGCAUAUCACUGACAUUCUGACAUCACACUGACAUCACACCAUGGCAACCAUUGGAUGAAGACCUCGUCUCCAGAGGACUCCUGUUAACACCAGACGUAUAAUGGGAGUGACACAGUGAUCUGCUGGCACUCUUGAAGACAUCAGCUUGGUCAAGAAUGUUGGCAGAGGCGCCUCAAGAAACAACUGCCUUCCACUCAUGAGCUGAAAUGUCAUUGCUGAAAGCGAGGCAGAUGAGUGGAAGUGGAAAGACCUGGGGCUGUGGGCGUCCUUGUGACCAGCCUGGCAAGGCCCACGCCUGCCCCAUGGAGACUCUGGGGCAGCCUUUGCAGAAGCAAACACUAUCAUCAGGUUUGCAUGAGUUCUGCUCCCUUGUUUUCUCUGCCUCUCGACUACCCACUUUAUUUCAGCCCUGCGGUGAAUUGUAUGUUUGGAGCGGAAGUAGGGGAGAACUCAGCCCCUUAGGAGUCAUGAGACUGUAAGAGGAUGCAUACUGCAGGGUACUUUUUCAGCUGAGAAACAGAAAACAUGGUCUGCUUUUUAAAUCUUACAAACAUACAGGUAAAGUCAACACGUACUUGUUGAUGUGGGGCUUUUGUAACCCAGCAACGUGUAGCAGCAAUCUGCCAGGAUACGCUGAAGCCCCAAUCCUGGGGAGCCACGCGCCAGUCAAGCGAAGAGCGGCUCCCUCUCCACGUCUCAUCUCGACGUUAAUUCCUCCUUGGUGAAACCUGCUUGGUAGAACCAUUCCUUUCCGUCCUGAGGCCAUGACAUCGGAUGUUAGACAAUGAGCAUGCUGAGACUGAGGAGAGCUAGUAGAGGCUGGCAUCAGCACGCUAUAUGCAAGUGAGGGAGAUGCACAAGGCUGAGAGUGAGCAUCACGUGAGACAAUGCACGUUCAAGCACGUUGCAUGAUGCCUGGCACACAGAGGACUAUCAAAACCGUAAGCUAUCCUGAUGGGGAGCCCGCCUCGCAGGCCCCCUUCCGGUGCAGCAGGAGGAUCUGGAAGAGCGCCAAUGCCCAGUCUCUGAGGAAGUGACGUCAGGCUGCAGCUUUGAGUCUUGAUCUGAAUCACAACCUCCCCAGGAACGAGGAGGCUGGAGAAUGAUUCCACCGCUACUUUCAGCCUCCCCUGGGUUGCAGCCAAAUAUGCUGAGAGGCUUAAAAUUCCAAACUGAUUUCUUCUCUCAGUGGUUUGCAAAAGCUGUGAGUUUGAAAAGAAACAAACUCAGACUUUGAGAGUGAGAGGGGGUAUUGGGCCAUGGGAGGUUGGUGGAAGUUUCUCCACAAAGCCUCAGGUGGCACAGGUUGUGUCCAGGCUUUAGUGCUGCACUGAGGGGACAGCAAGACUGCCCUAGCCAGAAGCCAAACUAAUCUUUGUUUCCUUCCUUGGGAUCCCAGGGACUAGAAAAAGCUGCUCUCCCAUGGAAGGGAAGGAGGUAGUCCCAGGAAACCUGUCCCUGAGGCCCGUGAGGCUGAUGGGACCACGCUGUGCCCCGGACUGGACAAGAGGCGUCCAGGGCUCUGGGCAUGGCCAGGCGUUCAGGCAAUUGCAUCUUUGGCCCAGGGAAGGCCCUUCGUCUCAUUCCCCAGAGGUACUUCUCCUCACCUAGAAAGCAAGGUGGCAUGACCAGCACUGCUACGCCUCCCAGUGUUGGAAGGAUGAGACUUGAGUUACAAACGCCACCACAGCGGUCUUAACAUCUGGCUUCCAAGGGGUCAAACUCUGAACAGUGCAGGGAGAGUAGGAGGCCAAAUGGGACCUCCUGCUGGGCAACCAGCUGUCUUCUUGAAACUCCUCCUGAAGCUGCAGCCAGCAGAGCAGCACAUCUCUGCAUGUGAGGACACCUCCCUUUCCUUCUCUCUCACUCUCACUGCCUCGAUUUGUACCUCCCGAAUAAAACAUCGGCACUAAA
rnacentral:lncRNA from 1 species